rnacentral:rRNA from 1 species
CUAAAAAGCUCGUAGUUGGAUUUCUAGAUGAGAGGAGUGGUCCACUCUAUGAGUGUGUAUCUACUUCCGCUCGUCUAUCCGCUCUGCAUACGUGUCUGCGCUUGACUGCGUGGCGCGGAGGUAGGGCCUUUUACUUUGAGGAAAUUAGAGUGUUCACGGCAGGCAAUCGCCUUGAAUAUAUUAGCAUGGAAUAAUAACAUAGGAUCUUGGUCCUAUUUUGUUGGUUUCUAGGGCUAAGAUAAUGAUUAAUAGGGACAAUUGGGGGCAUUCGUAUCGCGGUGUCAGAGGUGGAAUU